rnacentral:lncRNA from 1 species
GGUCAGGCGAGCAUAUGGUCAGUGAAGGGCGCGCGGACGCCAUCACUGUAGGCGUCCAUGGGGUAAUCUCCAUCCAUGUCCAUGUGCAUGUCAAUGGGGUCCAGGGGGAUGUCACCCGAGUACAUGGGGCGGUAGCCGGGGUCCACCUCGUCCGAGUAGGGCUCAUUGAUGGGGAUCAUGCUCUGAGCCGCCUCCCAUGCUGCGGGGUCGUGCUUGAAGAGCGAGUUGGUGAGCUCCACGGACACACGCUUCCUGUAGUCGGGGUUCUUGUCCUCGGAGAUGCGGAAGAGCACGGCAGCUGCAUAGGUGGCUGUUCCCUCAUUCCUGGAGUGCAGCAGCUCCAUGAGUGGAGCCGAGGCCCCUUCGGCAUCAAUGGCAUCGGCAGCCUCCUUGUCCUGGGCCAGCUCGCACAGCACGCCGGCCGCCACGCGCUGGAUGUUCUCCACAGGUGAGUAGAGGAGCUGCACGAAGAGGGGAAUGGUGUUGAGCCGGAAGAUCUCCAUGCGGUUCAUGAGGUCCCGGGCCAGGAUGUGCAGCGCUCCCGUGCAGCCCUCCACGAUCUCCUCCAUCUUGACGCCAUCCGUGUAGGGCUGCUGUGUGCCGGCUGCCACGUGACGCUGCGCAUCCUGGUGAGCCUUCACCAGCAGCUGCACCAGGCGUGGGAUGACGGCCGCCUCCUGCAGCGGGCCAUGGUUGGCCGGGCACAGGGCCAGGUUGCGGAUCAGCCCAAUGGUGGCCUUGACCAGCGGCCACUGGUUGGGCUGGUUGAGCAGCUUGACGAUGGCGGGGAUGCCGUAGUUGAGCCGCACGGAGUUCUGUGCCAUCUCUGCCUCGGGGUGCCGGCUGGUGAGGUGCCGCAGCGCGCACACGGCCGGCUCGGUGAUGUCCUCCUUGUCGCCCGCCCGCAGGAUGGUGUGGAUCAGCGCCUCCACCCCGUUUGACUGUGUCACCAGGGUCUUGUUCUUGCUGUUGUUGCAGGUCAGGUUGGAGAGUGUGCCGGUGGCGCAGGUCAGCACAUUGACGUCGUCAGAGCUCAGCUGGUUCACCAGGAUCUUGAGGACUCCAUCCAGGCCCUCCUGCUUGGUGGCCACGUCAGAGAGGUUUCGCAGGGUCCAGAGACAGUUCUGCACCAGCCGGGGGCUGGAGCUGGUCAGGUGCUUGCCCAGAGCCUGCAUGCCACCGGCCUCGACGAUGGCAGGUUUGUUGCUGGGGCACACUGACAGCACCUUGAGCACCCGGCUGGUGGUCCACAGCAGCUUCUCAUAGUUGUAGCUGCGCAUGAUCUGCACCAGGGCUUGGGGGCCUCCGUUGGCCAAAAUAAUCAGCUUGCUCUCCUGGUUCCCGUAGGCGAGCAGCUGCAGGCAGUCGGUGGUGAUGGCCAGGAACUUGGGGUUGUUCUUGUUCAGCAGCGGCACCAUCUUCUGCAGCCCGUCAGCCAGGCGCACGGCCAUCUUGGCACCCUCCUGGUAGAGCAGCAGGUUGUGCAGCGUGGUGAUGGCAUAGAAGAGGACUGACUCGACUGGUGAGCUGAGCAUCCUGACGAGGGCUGGGAUGCCACCAGACUUGAAGAUGGAGAGCAGUCCCUCGCGGUGGUGGGAGAGGUUGUGCAGGAUGCUGGUGGUGCAGCGUGCCGUGUCCAGGUCGCUGGUGCUCUGCAUGGUGCGCACCACAGCCGCCACAAUCUGCGAUGACUGCAUCAGGGCACGGCGGGACGCUUCCUUCUUGGAGAGCUGGUUCACAAUCAUGGCUGCUUUGCUGACAACCACUGGGUCCUCGUCGUUGAGCAGCUUGGUGAGCUCUGGGAUGGCGCGGGUGGCCAGCUCGGCAUCAUCCUGGUAGUUGAUCAGGUGCACAAUGGCCGACUUCAGCAUCUGCGAGGGCUCCGCCAGGCGCUGCACGUUGGUCUGCUGCCCUUCCACCUGCGUGGUGAUGAGCAGCGAGCGGUCCUCCACCGUCUCGGGGUACAUGGCAGCACGGACACGCUGAGCCCGGGUCAUGGCCAGCUGAGCCUCCAUGUCGGCUUGUGCUUGGCUCUGGCCCUGGCCCCCACCCUGGCAGUAGCUGGUGGUGGUGGUCUUCUUGAUGGUGUACUGCUUCCCGUACACCUCGUCGUCAUCCCCCAUGCACUUGCUGCUGACGGAGGGCACCUGGGUGUUGACGCCCGAGUGGAUGCCCGAGUCGUAGGUGUAGGUCUGCUGCCACUCCGUCACCUUGAUGGGCUGCUCCAUCAUGUUCAUCACCUCCAUGGCUGCACUCGCACCGCUCCCCGCGCGGGCAC